AACGAACGCUGGCGGCAGGCUUAACACAUGCAAGUCGAACGCACCGCAAGGUGAGUGGCAGACGGGUGAGUAACACGUGGAGAUCUGCCCAAUGGUACGGAAUAGCUCCGGGAAACUGGAAUUAAUACCGUAUGAGCCCGCAAGGGGAAAGAUUUAUCGCCAUUGGAUGAACCCGCGUCGGAUUAGCUAGUUGGUGUGGUAAAGGCGCACCAAGGCGACGAUCCGUAGCUGGUCUGAGAGGAUGAUCAGCCACACUGGGACUGAGACACGGCCCAGACUCCUACGGGAGGCAGCAGUGGGGAAUAUUGGACAAUGGGCGCAAGCCUGAUCCAGCCAUGCCGCGUGAGUGAUGAAGGCCUUAGGGUUGUAAAGCUCUUUCGCCGACGAAGAUAAUGACGGUAGUCGGAGAAGAAGCCCCGGCUAACCUCGUGCCAGCAGCCGCGGUAAAAC
rnacentral:rRNA from 1 species